CCUACGGGAGGCAGCAGUGGGGAAUUUUGGACAAUGGACGCAAGUCUGAUCCAGCCAUGCCGCGUGCGGGAAGAAGGCCUUCGGGUUGUAAACCGCUUUUGUCAGGGAAGAAAAGGUUCUGGUUAAUACCUGGGACUCAUGACGGUACCUGAAGAAUAAGCACCGGCUAACUACGUGCCAGCAGCCGCGGUAAUACGUAGGGUGCAAGCGUUAAUCGGAAUUACUGGGCGUAAAGCGUGUGCAGGCGGUUAUGCAAGACAGAUGUGAAAUCCCCGGGCUCAACCUGGGAACUGCAUUUGUGACUGCAUAGCUAGAGUACGGUAGAGGGGGAUGGAAUUCCGCGUGUAGCAGUGAAAUGCGUAGAUAUGCGGAGGAACACCGAUGGCGAAGGCAAUCCCCUGGACCUGUACUGACGCUCAUGCACGAAAGCGUGGGGAGCAAACAGGAUUAGAUACCCUGGUAGUCCACGCCCUAAACGAUGUCAACUGGUUGUUGGGAGGGUUUCUUCUCAGUAACGAAGCUAACGCGUGAAGUUGACCGCCUGGGGAGUACGGCCGCAAGGUUGAAACUCAAAGGAUUGACGGCUGAGAGAGCGAGACGACGACGAGGGAGGAGG
rnacentral:rRNA from 1 species